rfam:Nomascus leucogenys chromosome 4, whole genome shotgun sequence.
GCCGGGCAUGGUGGUGCGCACCUGUAGCCCCAGCUACUCAGGGUCUGAGGCCAGAGGAUGUCUUGAGCCCAGGAGUUCUGGACCUUAGCGCGCUAUGCCAAUCAGAUGUCUGCACUAAUUUUGGCAUCGGCAUGGUGACCUCUCGGCAGUGAGGGACCACUAGGUUGCCUAAGAAGGGGUGAAUCAGCACCGGCCAGAAACGGAGCAGGUCAGAACUCCCAUGCUGAUCAGCAGUGGGAACGUGCCUGAAAAUAGCCACCGCACUCCAGACUGGGUAACAUAGUGAGACCCCUUCUCUG